rnacentral:other from 1 species
GUAGCACUGCAAGGCAGGUGAAUGUGACCCUAUUUUUUGAGCUAACAACUAAUUCUUGGAGGUUUGAUUGGCGCUCCCGUGCGCAGGCUCAGCCUGAGGCCAAUGGAUCCACAGGCCGAGAAGCCUAACGGAGCGCAUCGGACCACCCCCGUAUAGAUACGGGUUCAAGAAAUAGCUCACACACGGCCAAGCGGUCUGCCC